GUGCAUGUUUGCUCAACGCGUGUACAGUUCUACAAUUUGAUCUAUUGUCAGUUGACAGCCAGAGUCCAUCAGCUAUAGCCCGUAUUCGGCGCCCAGUUCUGCUCUGCUAGUCAAUUAAUUAUAACGGCUAGAGUCGAUAAUCUACACUGGAGAAAAAUACCGAAAUUUAUAUACUAUGGAAUUUUCUAGUUCAACACUUAA